rnacentral:rRNA from 1 species
GGGUUGUGAGGUUAAGCGACUAAGCGUACACGGUGGAUGCCCUGGCAGUCAGAGGCGAUGAAGGACGUGCUAAUCUGCGAAAAGCGCCGGCGAGGUGAUAUGAACCUUUGACCCGGCGAUGUCCGAAUGGGGAAACCCAGUGUGAUUCGUCACACUAUCGUUAACUGAAUACAUAGGUUAACGAGGCGAACCGGGGGAACUGAAACAUCUAAGUACCCCGAGGAAAAGAAAUCAACCGAGAUUCCCCCAGUAGCGGCGAGCGAACGGGGAGCAGCCCAGAGUCUGAAUCAGCUUGUGUGUUAGUGGAACGGUCUGGAAAGUCCGGCGAUACAGGGUGAUAGCCCCGUACACGAAAGCACACAGGCUGUGAACUCGAAGAGUAGGGCGGGACACGUGGUAUCCUGUCUGAAUAUGGGGGGACCAUCCUCCAAGGCUAAAUACUCCUGACUGACCGAUAGUGAACCAGUACCGUGAGGGAAAGGCGAAAAGAACCCCGGCGAGGGGAGUGAAAAAGAACCUGAAACCGUGUACGUACAAGCAGUGGGAGCACCUUCGUGGUGUGACUGCGUACCUUUUGUAUAAUGGGUCAGCGACUUAUAUUCUGUAGCAAGGUUAACCGUAUAGGGGAGCCGAAGGGAAACCGAGUCUUAACUGGGCGUUAAGUUGCAGGGUAUAGACCCGAAACCCGGUGAUCUAGCCAUGGGCAGGUUGAAGGUUGGGUAACACUAACUGGAGGACCGAACCGACUAAUGUUGAAAAAUUAGCGGAUGACUUGUGGCUGGGGGUGAAAGGCCAAUCAAACCGGGAGAUAGCUGGUUCUCCCCGAAAGCUAUUUAGGUAGCGCCUCGUGAACUCAUCUUCGGGGGUAGAGCACUGUUUCGGCUAGGGGGCCAUCCCGGCUUACCAACCCGAUGCAAACUACGAAUACCGAAGAAUGUUAUCACGGGAGACACACGGCGGGUGCUAACGUCCGUCGUGAAGAGGGAAACAACCCAGACCGCCAGCUAAGGUCCCAAAGUCAUGGUUAAGUGGGAAACGAUGUGGGAAGGCACAGACAGCCAGGAUGUUGGCUUAGAAGCAGCCAUCAUUUAAAGAAAGCGUAAUAGCUCACUGGUCGAGUCGGCCUGCGCGGAAGAUGUAACGGGGCUAAACCAUGCACCGAAGCUGCGGCAGCGACGCUUAGGCGUUGUUGGGUAGGGGAGCGUUCUGUAAGCCGUUGAAGGUGUGCUGUGAGGCAUGCUGGAGGUAUCAGAAGUGCGAAUGCUGACAUAAGUAACGAUAAUGCGGGUGAAAAGCCCGCACGCCGGAAGACCAAGGGUUCCUGUCCAACGUUAAUCGGGGCAGGGUGAGUCGACCCCUAAGGCGAGGCCGAAAGGCGUAGUCGAUGGGAAACAGGUUAAUAUUCCUGUACUUGGUGUUACUGCGAAGGGGGGACGGAGAAGGCUAUGUUAGCCGGGCGACGGUUGUCCCGGUUUAAGCAUGUAGGCGGAACGAUUAGGUAAAUCCGGUCGUUUAUUAACGCUGAGGUGUGAUGACGAGGCACUACGGUGCUGAAGUAACAAAUGCCCUGCUUCCAGGAAAAGCCUCUAAGCAUCAGGUAACAUCAAAUCGUACCCCAAACCGACACAGGUGGUCAGGUAGAGAAUACCAAGGCGCUUGAGAGAACUCGGGUGAAGGAACUAGGCAAAAUGGUGCCGUAACUUCGGGAGAAGGCACGCUGAUAUGUAGGUGAAGCCCCUGCGGGUGGAGCUGAAAUCAGUCGAAGAUACCAGCUGGCUGCAACUGUUUAUUAAAAACACAGCACUGUGCAAACACGAAAGUGGACGUAUACGGUGUGACGCCUGCCCGGUGCCGGAAGGUUAAUUGAUGGGGUUAGCGGCAACGCGAAGCUCUUGAUCGAAGCCCCGGUAAACGGCGGCCGUAACUAUAACGGUCCUAAGGUAGCGAAAUUCCUUGUCGGGUAAGUUCCGACCUGCACGAAUGGCGUAAUGAUGGCCAGGCUGUCUCCACCCGAGACUCAGUGAAAUUGAACUCGCUGUGAAGAUGCAGUGUACCCGCGGCAAGACGGAAAGACCCCGUGAACCUUUACUAUAGCUUGACACUGAACACUGGUCCUUGAUGUGUAGGAUAGGUGGGAGGCUUUGAAGCGUGGACGCCAGUCUGCGUGGAGCCGACCUUGAAAUACCACCCUUUAAUGGCUGGUGUUCUAACGUAGACCCGUAAUCCGGGUUGCGGACAGUGUCUGGUGGGUAGUUUGACUGGGGCGGUCUCCUCCCAAAGAGUAACGGAGGAGCACGAAGGUUAGCUAAUCCUGGUCGGACAUCAGGAGGUUAGUGCAAUGGCAUAAGCUAGCUUGACUGCGAGAGUGACGGCUCGAGCAGGUGCGAAAGCAGGUCAUAGUGAUCCGGUGGUUCUGAAUGGAAGGGCCAUCGCUCAACGGAUAAAAGGUACUCCGGGGAUAACAGGCUGAUACCGCCCAAGAGUUCAUAUCGACGGCGGUGUUUGGCACCUCGAUGUCGGCUCAUCACAUCCUGGGGCUGAAGUAGGUCCCAAGGGUAUGGCUGUUCGCCAUUUAAAGUGGUACGCGAGCUGGGUUUAGAACGUCGUGAGACAGUUCGGUCCCUAUCUGCCGUGGGCGCUGGAGAAUUGAGGGGGGCUGCUCCUAGUACGAGAGGACCGGAGUGGACGCAUCACUGGUGUUCGGGUUGUCAUGCCAAUGGCACUGCCCGGUAGCUAAAUGCGGAAAAGAUAAGUGCUGAAAGCAUCUAAGCACGAAACUUGCCCCGAGAUGAGUUCUCCCUGACCCUUUAAGGGUCCUGAAGGAACGUUGAAGACUACGACGUUGAUAGGUCGGGUGUGUAAGCGCAGCGAUGCGUUGAGCUAACCGAUACUAAUGAACCGUGAGGCUUAACCUUACAACGCCGAAGCUGUU